CAUAAUACCAUCGAUGACAAAAACUCAACAUCAGCAAAGUAUUGAGGUGGUUCGUCCACCUACUAAGGAAGCAACUUCACGCUCAAGACCAAAGCUCCUCUCCAGCACCACCUCCAACAUCGGUAAGAUCAGCAUGAUCAUCAGAGCAACAACAGCAGCCCACGGAGACUUUUGUCUCUUCCAUUUCAAUUAAGAGAAUUGAUCUUGCCCAAGUAUUCUUAUUGGAGACACCAAGGCUUGGUUGAGAUAUACUCACAGCAGUUUUGCCCCAAAGAGAUCUGGAGGCACAGAGGUGAGACUACAUAAUUGAAUAAGUAAUGAAUCGUGAUUUUAUCGAUCUACUUGAUAUAAGUUUCUUCAACUUGAGUGUUUUCUUUCCAUGCCUUUUCACAUCGAUUUUUUUUUUUAUCUUACUUUUGUUUUGCAGGUAGCACUAGACCUCAAGUUAAUGCAUGAAAACUUGAUCUGGCUGUACA
rnacentral:lncRNA from 1 species